GCCGGGUAUCGCUGUUGGGGCGCGUUUCAACAUCUCAAGAGGCUUGAUCGUCGGGCCCAUAACCCGAAGGGCGCGGGUUCAAAUCCCGCACCCCGGCG
rnacentral:tRNA from 1 species